GACAAAUCAAAAGCUUCUCACGUUGGCACAACAAAAGAAACAAACAAAGAAAUGAGAAAACAUACAUCAAUUGCUCAAAAACAAGGAUAUAGAAACAGAAAAACAUUGACGUUCACACUUUUUUUUUUUCUUCUUCGUUUUCUUCAUUCUCUUCUCACGCGACGCUCCAGCACUCUCCUUCUCAUCUCUCUCCAGCAGCUCCCUUUCUAUAGGCAAAGAAAUGCCUGACACAAAAGCAAAUUUUCCAAAUUUUAUGCUUAGAACAUAGAAAGCCAUUCCUUUAAAAUUAAACAUCGUUACUUCAAAAAAUAUUCUGCAGCAAAAUAUCUCAACUCCAAGGAUUGGACAGAGCAGGGUUGAGUUUGCACGCGUUCAUGUCAAACUUUCUUCCUAUUGCAGUGGAUUUCAGCUUUCUUUUGCAAAGGCUACUCAACAUAGGCUAUACCAUGGUGUUAUAUGCAUUUUGGGGAUAUGAGACACAUGCUUUAUCUGGAACUUAGAAGAAGAAGAAUUCAUUAAUUUUCUUUCCUUAUCCCUCUUGUUGCUGCAGACAGUUAAAUUGUACUUAGGAUUAUAGAUGUCUUAAGCUAGUGGUGCUUAGUCGUUGCUUCUGGACAUGUAUGUGAAACCAAUGUGCUUUUGGGUUUCAUCCUAGUUUAUGCAAGGACCUUGUGACUUGCUUCUUUCUGUUGAAUUUGGUGCUGUUGUUGCAGCUUGUGAACAUCGAAUGCUACUGGAAUCUGACCCAAAAGAAUUAAGAGACAAACAUUUUUCUGUACCGUUGUUGGUUUUAUGAGGAAUCACUGCAAUAUCUCUAGAUGUAUCUGGACAAAAAGGUAAAAUUGCCAUGUGGCAUACUUUAGAACUUCCACGAACUUCCACAUCUCUAAUAAGCUGAAUAAAUUUAAUUGAUUUCUUACAGCGUUCUUUCGUUACUAUCUUCGUUAGGUUUCUCACUUCCAUAAAUCAGGUAAUAAACUUGCUCAACUAAUUGCACAAACCAUACAAGUAAAAACACUCUCACAAUAAACGUAAAGCCCUUUCCACACAUGUAUUUGUUUUGGACAGAACUUUAUAAACCAUGACCUCUCACUACUCUAACAACAUUUAAAUAAUACCACACCAUAAAUUUGUUCCGCAAAUUAUCUAGAAAAUUGAAGUAUAAAUGCCUUCAUCUUCUAUUAAACAUUAAAGGACCCAGCACUAUCCAAAACCCUACCACUAUCCAAAACCCCACCACAAAUCCAAGUGCAAUGCUCACAUAGAAAUAGAGCCACGCAAAUGAUUCAGAGCCGUUGUCAUCUUCUCCUCUUUCUAUACCGAUAGGAGGCAUAGCACCAACAACAUUGCAGUUCUUGAUGAGUGGACGCCCACAAAGUUUGUUGCCACUGAAACUAGAUGGAUCAAAGCUUUGCAAUUGAGUGCUUGUAGGAAUGAUUCCUGAUAACUUGUUGUUGGACAGGU
rnacentral:misc_RNA from 1 species